CACAAUGUUUCCCUGAGUUCUGUGAGCUGCUCUAGUAAAUUACAAGAACCUAAGGAGGAGGUUGUUGGAGCCUUGAAUCUGUAGCUGGCUGGUCAGAAGCACAGGGAGUACCUGAGAUCCAGCAGGAAGCAACUCCUCAGGGUCGCAGAGUUAUGGCUGAAACCAGGCCACACACCCCUCAUCCUGACGGGUCAUUCCAAAACAUUGGUCCACGGAUACUGCUCAUGGGAGUCAACUUUCCACAGCAUACUGGAAAAGAAAAUGUGUGCUCACUUAUUUAGCACUGCUCUCUCUCAUAAAUAACAUAAUAUUAACAUAAUCUCAUAAAAUAACAGAAUUAAUGUCUCAUAAAUAACGACUCAUUGUCUUCACAUUGGAGAAUGUUCUAAUCCCACACCAUAAGUAGCAUGCUUUUCAUUAUUCGUCUAGUUAAAGUCAAUACCAGGUCUCAGAUGAAACGCAAUUGCCAAGAUGGAAAGGGAAUCAAAACAGGCCAGUAUCUGGUAACACUAUCUGUCCUCGAUUUUAUGUAAUCUAAGGAUAAGCCCCCACCAUGAUAUUUUUUGAGACUCUGAGGCAGUUUUUAUGCCUCUACCAGAGAAAGUAAGGAUCAGAAUCUUCCUAUCAAUAGUAGGGAGGAUUGUUCCAAAAGUUCUCUUCCCUGGCAAUCAUUGACAGAUUUAGGAAAGAAAGGCAGGUAUUUGCUUUUGCUGUUUCUGUCAACAUGACUUCUGGUCAGAGGCACAUCCACUUUUUCAAAAAGAACAGAUUACUAAAGUCAAAAGAUCUGCAUUCAAGAUCUAGCUCUGCCAUCUCUGGGUCGGGACACUCAACAUCUCGGGACCUCCAUUUCCAUGGCUGGGACACUCAACGUCUCUGGACCUCCAUAUCUGUCUGUAGAGUGGAAAGGAUAUGAACACUCUGAUUUUUCAGUAUUAUGGAAAUCAAAAGUGGUGAUGCAUGAGAAAAGAUGUGGUAAAUACUCUGCUUUGUUAUUUACCAAUAUACCUUCUAGAGAGACAAAGUAAUGUGUUUAAAAUAGACCAAUGUUUAGAGAAUAAGUCAAGAUCGCUUUGUUGACAAUUUGCUUAUGAAGUACACAGCUUUCCAAUUUUGAGAAUUGAUCCCAGUGAAAAAAGCAAAAUAUGAUGUAUCUGUCUGAACUGAAGAUAACUCUAGGUCAAUUCAUGCUCUAUUAACCAAAUAAAGGCAAGUAGUAACUAUCCCAGAUGUUUCAAAAUUUCACAAAGAUUGUACAAAAAUAAAUUUAUGGGAACUGCA